rnacentral:rRNA from 1 species
UACGAAGGGGGCUAGCGUUGCUCGGAAUCACUGGGCGUAAAGGGCGCGUAGGCGGCCAUCUAAGUCAGACGUGAAAUCCCCCGGCUUAACCUGGGAACUGCGUCUGAUACUGGACGGCUGGAGUUUGGGAGAGGGAUGUAGAAUUCCAGGUGUAGCGGUGAAAUGCGUAGAUAUCUGGAGGAAUACCGGUGGCGAAGGCGGCAUCCUGGACCAAUACUGACGCUGAGGCGCGAAAGCUAGGGGAGCAAACGGG